rnacentral:rRNA from 1 species
UACGUAGGGUGCAAGCGUUGUCCGGAAUUAUUGGGCGUAAAGAGCUCGUAGGCGGUCUGUCGCGUCUGGUGUGAAAACUCAGGGCUUAACCCUGAGCUUGCAUCGGGUACGGGCAGACUAGAGUGCGGUAGGGGAGACUGGAAUUCCUGGUGUAGCGGUGAAAUGCGCAGAUAUCAGGAGGAACACCAGCGGCGAAGGCGGCGCUCUGGGCCGGUACUGACGCUGAGGAGCGAAAGCGUGGGUAGCAAACAGG